AUUGAACGCUAGCGGGAUGCCUUACACAUGCAAGUCGAACGGAGUGGCGAACGGGUGAGUAAUGUAUCGGAACGUGCCCCGUAGCGUGGGAUAACUACGCGAAAGCGUAGCUAAUACCGCAUACUAUUGGAGCGGCCGAUAUCGGGUUGGCUAGUUGGUGGGGUAACGGCUCAAAAAGGCGACGAUCCGUAGCUGGUUUGAGAGGACGACCAGCCAAACUGGAACUGAGACACGGCCCAGACUCCUACGGGAGGAAGCAGUGGGAAAUUUUGGACAAUGGGGGAAGCCCUGAUCCGGCCAUCCCGCGUGUGCGAUGAGGGCCUUCGGGUUGUAAAGCACUUUAGGCAGGAAAGCGGUACCUGCAGAAUAAGCACCGGCUAACUACGUGCCAGCAGCCGCGGUAAUUC
rnacentral:rRNA from 1 species